CAGAAGGGAGAUAAAAAAUUAAGGUGUGACUCUGCUGACCUUCGGCAUGACAUUGAUCGCCGUAGAAAAGAAAGAAGUAAAGAACGGGGAGAUUCCAAGGGCUCCAGGGAAUCCAGUGGAUCAAGAAAGCAGGAAAAAACUCCAAAAGAUUACAAGGAAUACAAAUCUUACAAAGAUGACAGUAAACAUAAAAGUAGAGAGCAAGAUCAUUCUCGAUCUUCAUCCUCUUCAGCAUCACCUUCUUCUCCCAGUUCUCGAGAAGAAAAGGAGAGUAAGAAGGAAAGAGAAGAAGAAUUUAAAACUCACCAUGAAAUGAAAGAAUACUCAGGCUUUGCAGGAGUUAGCCGACCACGAGGAACCUUUUUUCGAAUUAGAGGCAGAGGAAGAGCCAGAGGAGUUUUUGCUGGGACAAAUACUGGUCCAAACAACUCAAAUACUACUUUUCAAAAGAGACCGAAGGAAGAGGAAUGGGAUCCAGAAUAUACCCCAAAGAGCAAGAAGUACUUCUUGCAUGACGACAGAGAUGAUGGUGUGGAUUAUUGGGCCAAAAGAGGAAGAGGUCGUGGUACUUUUCAACGUGGCAGAGGGCGCUUUAACUUCAAAAAAUCAGGUAGCAGUCCUAAAUGGACCCAUGACAAAUACCAAGGGGAUGGGAUUGUUGAAGAUGAAGAAGAGACCAUGGAAAAUAAUGAAGAAAAGAAGGACAGACGCAAGGAGGAAAAGGAAUAAUAAUGAAGUAAGAUUACAGCAGAGCAGAACUUGCACCCACCAUUUUUUUUACCUGAUUUUUGUUUUCAAAUAAGAAUGUAAGCAUUUUACUUAAAUUUUACUGUUUGCAAGUAGUCUAUAGAAAUUUUAAGUUUUCAAAUAUCUUGAGAAAUAGUAGACUGUAUGUUGAAAAUUGUACUGAAAUAAAGUAGAAAAUUGUUACGUACCAUAUUUGUAACUAUCAACUUUUAAAAAAAACUUCUAACGUUUUUGUUACAUGCAUUGUAAUUCUGCUUUGUCUAUAAGAUACGGUCAAGUACAGCUCUGUGAAAGUUCUGAUUCUCUUUCUUCCCUGUUUGUCAAUGUUUUAUUCUGAAGUAAACGUUAGCUCUACAUAUAAAUCCUGGAACAGAAAUUGUUUAUAGAGACUACACUAAUUAUUUUAACUGUAUACAUCUGUUUAAUUUGAACACACUACAUUGUAGGGUGACUAAUUUUUGAAGUAUACCACAGACAAAAGGUUGUUACUUUGGUAAACUAAGCUAGUUUAACACUUGAGCAAAUGCUUAAGAAGGAAUUAAAAAAAAAAAAAA